rnacentral:rRNA from 1 species
AGCCUAAUAGCUAGCCCCACCCCCUGAGAUAAACACACCCCUAUAAAUAAACCCUAACGCACUAAAUGCAUAAAACAAACCAUUUUUCCCUCCUAGUAUGGGCGACAGAAAAGAAAACCCGGAGCAAUAAAGAAAGUACCGCAAGGGAAAGCUGAAAGAGAAAUGAAACAACCCAGUUCAAAGCCAAAAAAAGCAGAGUUUUUCCCUCU